AUUGAACGCUGUCGGCAGGCCUAACACAUGCAAGUCGAACGGUAACAGGAAGAAGCUUGCUUCUUUGCUGACGAGUGGCGGACGGGUGAGUAAUGUCUGGGAAACUGCCUGAUGGAGGGGGAUAACUACUGGAAACGGUAGCUAAUACCGCAUAACGUCGCAAGACCAAAGAGGGGGACCUUCGGGCCUCUUGCCAUCGGAUGUGCCCAGAUGGGAUUAGCUAGUAGGUGGGGUAACGGCUCACCUAGGCGACGAUCCCUAGCUGGUCUGAGAGGAUGACCAGCCACACUGGAACUGAGACACGGUCCAGACUCCUACGGGAGGCAGCAGUGGGGAAUAUUGCACAAUGGGCGCAAGCCUGAUGCAGCCAUGCCGCGUGUAUGAAGAAGGCCUUCGGGUUGUAAAGUACUUUCAGCGGGGAGGAAGGGAGUAAAGUUAAUACCUUUGCUCAUUGACGUUACCCGCAGAAGAAGCACCGGCUAACUCCGUGCCAGCAGCCGCGGUAAUACGGAGGGUGCAAGCGUUAAUCGGAAUUACUGGGCGUAAAGCGCACGCAGGCGGUUUGUUAAGUCAGAUGUGAAAUCCCCGGGCUCAACCUGGGAACUGCAUCUGAUACUGGCAAGCUUGAGUCUCGUAGAGGGGGGUAGAAUUCCAGGUGUAGCGGUGAAAUGCGUAGAGAUCUGGAGGAAUACCGGUGGCGAAGGCGGCCCCCUGGACGAAGACUGACGCUCAGGUGCGAAAGCGUGGGGAGCAAACAGGAUUAGACACCCUGGUAGUCCACGCCGUAAACGAUGUCGACUUGGAGGUUGUGCCCUUGAGGCGUGGCUUCCGGAGCUAACGCGUUAAGUCGACCGCCUGGGGAGUACGGCCGCAAGGUUAAAACUCAAAUGAAUUGACGGGGGCCCGCACAAGCGGUGGAGCAUGUGGUUUAAUUCGAUGCAACGCGAAGAACCUUACCUGGUCUUGACAUCCACAGAACUUUCCAGAGAUGGAUUGGUGCCUUCGGGAACUGUGAGACAGGUGCUGCAUGGCUGUCGUCAGCUCGUGUUGUGAAAUGUUGGGUUAAGUCCCGCAACGAGCGCAACCCUUAUCUUUUGUUGCCAGCGGUCCGGCCGGGAACUCAAAGGAGACUGCCAGUGAUAAACUGGAGGAAGGUGGGGAUGACGUCAAGUCAUCAUGGCCCUUACGACCAGGGCUACAUACGUGCUACAAUGGCGCAUACAAAGAGAAGCGACCUCGCGAGAGCAAGCGGACCUCAUAAAGUGCGUCGUAGUCCGGAUUGGAGUCUGCAACUCGACUCCAUGAAGUCGGAAUCGCUAGUAACCGUGGAUCAGAAUGCCACGGUGAAUACGUUCCCGGGCAAU
rnacentral:rRNA from 1 species